rnacentral:rRNA from 1 species
UACGUAGGGGGCAAGCGUUGUUCGGAAUUACUGGGCGUAAAGGGCGCGUAGGCGGCACGGCAAGUCGGGAGUGAAAGCCCGGGGCUCAACCCCGGAGGGUCUCUCGAAACUGCCGAGCUAGAGUGCGGAAGAGGCAACCGGAAUUCCCAGUGUAGCGGUGAAAUGCGUAGAUAUCGUGAGGAACACCAGAGGCGAAGGCGGUUACCUGGACAGUUACUGACGCUCAGGCACGAAAGCAUGGGGAGCAAAAGGG